AGCGAACGCUGGCGGCAGGCCUAACACAUGCAAGUCGAACGGAUCCUUCGGGAUUAGUGGCGGACGGGUGAGUAACACGUGGGAACGUGCCCUUUGGUUCGGAACAGCUCAGGGAAACUUGAGCUAAUACCGGAUGUGCCCUUCGGGGGAAAGAUUUAUCGCCAUUGGAGCGGCCCGCGUCUGAUUAGCUAGUUGGUGGGGUAAAGGCCCACCAAGGCGACGAUCAGUAGCUGGUCUGAGAGGAUGUUCAGCCACAUUGGGACUGAGACACGGCCCAAACUCCUACGGGAGGCAGCAGUGGGGAAUCUUGCGCAAUGGGCGAAAGCCUGACGCAGCCAUGCCGCGUGAAUGAUGAAGGUCUUAGGAUUGUAAAAUUCUUUCACCGGGGACGAUAAUGACGGUACCCGGAGAAGAAGCCCCGGCUAACUUCGUGCCAGCCGCCGCCGUAA
rnacentral:rRNA from 1 species